AUUGAACGCUGGCGGCAUGCUUUACACAUGCAAGUCGAGCGGCAGCGCGGGGGCAACCCUGGCGGCGAGCGGCGAACGGGUGAGUAAUGCAUCGGAACGUAUCCUCGAGUGGGGGAUAACCCAGCGAAAGUUGGGCUAAUACCGCAUGAGCUCUGAGGAGGAAAGCGGGGGACCUGCGAGGGCCUCGCGCUGGAGGAGCGGCCGAUGUCCGAUUAGCUAGUUGGUGGGGUAAAGGCUUACCAAGGCGACGAUCGGUAGCUGGUCUGAGAGGAUGAUCGGCCACACUGGGACUGAGACACGGCCCAGACUCCUACGGGAGGCAGCAGUGGGGAAUUUUGGACAAUGGGGGCAACCCUGAUCCAGCCAUGCCGCGUGAGUGAAGAAGGCCUUCGGGUUGUAAAGCUCUUUCGGACGGAACGAAAUGGGCGGGACUAAUACUCCUGUCUGAUGACGGUACCGUAAGAAGAAGCACCGGCUAACUACGUG
rnacentral:rRNA from 1 species